rnacentral:rRNA from 1 species
GUGGGGAAUAUUGCACAAUGGGCGCAAGCCUGAUGCAGCCAUGCCGCGUGUGUGAAGAAGGCCUUCGGGUUGUAAAGCACUUUCAGCGAGGAGGAAGGUGGUGAACUUAAUACGUUCAUCAAUUGACGUUACUCGCAGAAGAAGCACCGGCUAACUCCGUGCCAGCAGCCGCGGUAAUACGGAGGGUGCAAGCGUUAAUCGGAAUUACUGGGCGUAAAGCGCACGCAGGCGGUUUGUUAAGUCAGAUGUGAAAUCCCCGGGCUCAACCUGGGAACUGCAUUUGAAACUGGCAAGCUAGAGUCUCGUAGAGGGGGGUAGAAUUCCAGGUGUAGCGGUGAAAUGCGUAGAGAUCUGGAGGAAUACCGGUGGCGAAGGCGGCCCCCUGGACGAAGACUGACGCUCAGGUGCGAAAGCGUGGGGAGCAAACAGGAUUAGAUACCCUAGUAGUCC